CCGACCCGUCGUAAGCUACGGACUGAUGGGAACACGGAAUUUAUUCGGCCGGAAUGAGUUCCUCCUGUCGACGUAAAGAGCUUUAGCGAUUCUUUUUCUGAGUUUGCACAAACAACGUACGACCUUCAGCCCAUUGGCAAGGUGUUUCCUGGAUGGAAUUCUUUCCGAAUGGCCUCCAAGUACAUUCGAGAAUCUGACCUGGAACCAAUUGCUUGGAACUGACGAAAGCCCAGCAAACAGACGGAGCAACCAGCAGAUGUGCUGAGCUGUUCUAAAUAGUUUCAAGAAGGAAUUUUUAAUUGUCUGGCUCUUUAAGGUCUGGUGACGCAUUCAUGUACCAAGCCAUUUUCAUGACUUCCGGCGGAAUAGUGAAAUAGCCCAGGCUAGGAAAAACUGGCUUCGAAUCAGACGCGUCCACCAAAGGCCAUAGAUAUAACGUACGAUGAAAAGAUGGUACCCAAAUUCCAAGUUAAACAUCUUAUUCGGGUCGUUGCGAUGAACGGGCAGACCGACAGACAUGGUCCAGAUUGUAUUUUGCCUUUUAAAUGUGCCCCAUAUACAUACAUACAUAGAAAGUCAAUUGAAGAAUUCAAUUGCAGUGUCUACGUUGGCGCACAAAUUUCGCAUUCCAGCGUUUGGGUCAUAUCUCUAGAGGAUUGUCUGCCCUAUGCAUAAACAUACGCGCACACACACACACACACACACCCGCACACACACAAAGAGUGAAAACAGGAAGCUCGGCCAGUGGCUAAUGGCCAAUGGCAUUUUUAUGCAUGUGUUUAUUUUUGUUGAAAUGCAUUCGUCGUCAUUGCUAAAUCAAGACACAGUCAAAAAGUCCACACACAAAAUAUGAUGAUAAAAAAAUGUAUACAUAUGACACGAACCAAGCGGCGCGAUCAAUCGAUUUCGAUGCUUUAUCCCGUCGAGGCAACCAUUAAGAUCGCCAAAUGCGCUGUAAGAAACAAGUAAGAGAGCAAUAGUCGAGAGUACCCAACUAGAGGAUAAACUGAACCCAGCGUCGUUCCUAAAGCAACCGCAGUUUAUGCAGCGACUGUGCUUCUUCUUCCCUUCUUCCCAGACAAUGUAUGGGAAAUGCAUUCUUGAUUAACUUGGGUGUUUGUUGUCCCAUCUUUGUGAAAUUUUCAGGAUAUGAAUUUAACAUCAUAAUGUGUUUACAUACUUAAGAACAACCUGUAUCUUUAACAAUACUUUUUUGGAUAUUAAUCUGGAUUUAGAUGUAAAGGAGUCUAUAUACCCAUUUUGGUGUCUCGAGACCAGUUAUCGACGACCUACAUUCAAAAUAUCAAGUCUCUUGCUCUGACAGUCAGACUGACAUGGCUACAUUGACCCGACUGUUUAUACUGAACAAAAAUAUAUAUACAUAUCUAUACAUUAGCAGGUCUAAAUGUCGCCUCCCCAAUCAAAUCUUAAAACCUAAUGUAACGAAACAAAAAACAGAUUUCAAUAAUCGAAACGUAUAUUAGAAACAUUUUUGUGAGGCUGUCUCCUAUAGAAUAUCAAUAUGAAUCGACCAGUUAAAAGAAGACUUGUGAAUAUAAAUGAGGUAUCGAUAUGGCCCCAAAACAAUGCGUAGACAAAAAAUUACAAAAAGGAUUGAUGAUUGACAUCGAGUUGAAUAAACGAGUACUGUAUGUCAAAGUGAACCGAAUUAUGGAAGCCGAAAGUGUUAACUAAGAUAUAAAACAUGUAUCGAAUAGUUAAUUGAUAGAUAAAGACAGAUUAUAUUGCUAAUUAAAACAUCAA